GGGACCGUGGUGCAACUUGGUAACAUUCGAGCUUCGGGAGCUCGCGACCUGGGUUCGAAUCCCAGCGGUCCCA
rnacentral:tRNA from 1 species